AGAAGCAAGGGGCUUAGCAUUAUUCCUACCUUUCACCAGAACUUCUCAUCCCUUUUUCUCUAGCAUCAGCCCCUCUCUGGCAUUGUAGUAAGGUGUUCUUUUUUUCCCUUGGUCAUACUUCUGUUAUAAAGCCCUAAAAUCCAGACCAGUGACCCAAGACCAGACACCUACAACUCCUGGGUUGUGGAUCUAAACUUUGUACAUGGUGCCAAGAGGUUUUGCAUGCUCAGUUGUGUCCGACUGCAACCCCAUGAACUAUAUGUAGCCCACCAAGCUUCUCUAUCCAUGGGAUUUCCCCGGCAAGAAUACUGGAGUGGGUUGCUGCUUCCUUCUCCAGGGAAUCUUCCCGACUCGGAUCAAGCUCGAGUCUCUUGCAUUGGCAGGCGAAUUCUUUACCACUGAGCCACAUGGGAGGCCCACUAAGAGGUUAGUUUCCUUAUCUAAGAGGGUUAGGUCACAUCCUAAUAGAUAAAUAUGUCCUCAAAAAAUAGGGCCGUGGGAUGCCUCUUGACCUAACUCAGCACUUUUAAGUCCCUUGGGACUAGGAGAGUCUGGUUCCUUGGAAAAGGGGUGCAGUUCUAACAUGCUAAUGGGUAUCUGCUCCUCUGGGCAUGUCUGAGUGCUGCCUUUAUGUCCCAGGAAUGAAGAACAAAAGAGUCUUGUAUCUUGGGUGUGGCUCUGUUCCAGUGGGACCCUCAGUAAACUGAACUCGGAGCGGAAAGAGCCCUGAGAGCCUCUGCCGGCCUGACUUCCGUUCUCCAGCGGACUAAUCAUGGGCCCCGAGAGGACAGAGUUGCCCUUCAAAGUUCAUAAACCGAUCAGGAACCCAAACCUUCUAAAUUCAAAUCCUUUUUUACUUCAUUUUGCAGUGGAAAUGGAGGCUUGGGAUAACAAAAUGGUAUUCCUGUCUCAGAAUUCCUUUGUGGCUCUGUGACAGCAAAUGGGAAUAAAAGCACGUUGGAAAAUCAACAGCCAUUCACAGAAGCCAAAGGGACCGUGACAAUAAGUUCACCUUCCUGACCUCAUGGAUCCCCCAUCAACAUCACGUAAUGCCAGAGAGGCUGCUGGCAGAAGCGAGCCGAGGGGAGAACGUAUCUGCUCCAGCCAGAACGGACCGCUCAAAAGCAGCGAGUGGCGGUGCAGUGGGUCUUCACUGAGCCCCAUUCUGUGCCCGUCAGAGCAUCUUGUUCAGCUUUACCUGGACCACAGCACCUUCACUUUCCCCAGUCACGUGGACCACCACGGAAGUUCGAGUUAGUUCCUUCUGGUGCAGGUGCCACAAGAAGAGUGCUUCACCUGUGUAGAACUCUCAUCAAACUCCGACAUGCCCAGGCUGAUCAUGAGACAGACCCCUGACAAACCCAGACUGGGGGAGCAUCCUGCAGGAAGCACGGCCGUCACUCCUCAAGACUCACAGUCGUGAAAUGGAAACACUGAGAGGUUGUCACAAACCAGAUGAGAUGAAGGAGACACUGGGGACUACAUGCCACUGGGACGGAAAGACGAUAUUAGUGGAGAAGCAGAUGAGAUCCAAAUAAAGUCUGGACUUUAGUUCAUAGAAA